AGCGAACGCUGGCGGCAUGCCUAACACAUGCAAGUCGCACGGGUCGGCUUCGGCCGGUCAGUGGCGGACGAGUGAGGAACGCGUAGGGAACUGUCCUCUGGUGGGCGAUAACCGCGGGAAACUGCGGCUAAGACCGCAUGGGGCGCCGGUGGGAGAGCCGGUGUCACAGGCGGGCAUCGCGAGGGGUGUGUCGCCGGGGGGUGUGCCUGGGUCCGAUUAGCGGGUUGGCGGGGUAGUGGCCCGCCAUGGUGGCGUGCGGUGGCUGGCCGGAGAGGGGGACCAGCCACGAUGGGACUGGGACACGGCCCAGACGCCUACGGGAGGCAGCAGUGGGGAAUAUUGGACAAUGGGCGCAAGACUGAUCGAGCAAUGCGGCGUGGGUGAAGAAGGUCUUCGGAUUGUAAAGCCCGCUCGGCGGGGACGAGGGUGACGGUACCCGCAGAAGAAGCCCCGGCUAACUUCGUG
rnacentral:rRNA from 1 species